GAUGAAGAACAUAGCGAAAUGCGAUACGUAAUGUGAAUUGCAGAAUUCAGUGAAUCAUCGAGUCUUUGAACGCACAUUGCGCCCCCUGGUAUUCCGGGGGGCAUGCCUGUCCGAGCGUCAUUGCUGCCCUCAAGCACGGCUUGUGUGUUGGGCCUCCGUCCUCCUCCCGGGGGACGGGCCCGAAAGGCAGCGGCGGCACCGCGUCCGGUCCUCGAGCGUAUGGGGCUUCGUCACCCGCUCUUGUAGGCCCGGCCGGCGCUUGCCGACACAUCAAUCUUUUUUCCAGGUUGACCUCGGAUCAGGUAGGGAUACCCGCUGAACUUAAGCAUAUCAAUAAGCGGAGGA
rnacentral:misc_RNA from 1 species